rnacentral:rRNA from 2 species
CCGUACACAAAAGCGCAUGUGCUGUGAGCUCGAUGAGUAGGGCGGGACACGUGGUAUCCUGUCUGAAUAUGGGGGGACCAUCCUCCAAGGCUAAAUACUCCUGACUGACCGAUAGUGAACCAGUACCGUGAGGGAAAGGCGAAAAGAACCCCGGCGAGGGGAGUGAAAAAGAACCUGAAACCGUGUACGUACAAGCAGUGGGAGCACAGGUUUACCUGUGUGACUGCGUACCUUUUGUAUAAUGGGUCAGCGACUUAUAUUCUGUAGCAAGGUUAACCGAAUAGGGGAGCCGGAGGGAAACCGAGUCUUAAUUGGGCGUUAAGUUGCAGGGUAUAGACCCGAAACCCGGUGAUCUAGCCAUGGGCAGGUUGAAGGUUGGGUAACACUAACUGGAGGACCGAACCGACUAAUGUUGAAAAAUUAGCGGAUGACCUGUGGCUGGGGGUGAAAGGCCAAUCAAACCGGGAGAUAGCUGGUUCUCCCCGAAAGCUAUUUAGGUAGCGCCUCGUGAAUUCAUCUCCGGGGGUAGAGCACUGUUUCGGCUAGGGGGCCAUCCCGGCUUACCAACCCGAUGCAAACUGCGAAUACCGGAGAAUGUUAUCACGGGAGACACACGGCGGGUGCUAACGUCCGUCGUGAAGAGGGAAACAACCCAGACCGCCAGCUAAGGUCCCAAAGUCAUGGUUAAGUGGGAAACGAUGUGGGAAGGCCCAGACAGCCAGGAUGUUGGCUUAGAAGCAGCCAUCAUUUAAAGAAAGCGUAAUAGCUCACUGGUCGAGUCGGCCUGCGCGGAAGAUGUAACGGGGCUAAACCAUGCACCGAAGCUGCGGCAGCGAACGUAUCACCCAAGACAACUUUACGGAGUUGACGAUUGACGGAGCGAAGCGACGUCAAAGCGUUCAUUAAAGUCGAGUUGGCUUAGGGAUACGUUCGUUGGGUAGGGGAGCGUUCUGUAAGCCUGUGAAGGUGUGUCGUGAGGC